AUUCAGAUGAUGAUGUUUUCUUCAGCUGCUGAAUGAUACAGACAGGAACUAAAAUGUAAUUCUGACCAAA